ensembl:lncRNA
GGGAGAGUCGUUCUUGAGAGCAUAUGCACCCCCAAAUGUCAAGUGCACGCGGACACACACACACACACACAGACACACGCACGCACACAUGAGCACUCAUGUUCUAGAGAGAGAGGUCUGAGUCCGAAGUUGCUGCUGCUGGGAGCUUGAGCUGAGAUGGACUGGUCUUCAUGGGCGCCCAAGGCACUGGGUGCAACUUUCCGCGAGACCCCCAGAUGGAAAGGUGGGAAGGAGGAACCCCACACACUCGCCUUUUGCGAGAAGAUCGGCGCGCACCCCAGAGUGCCCCAAGCCUUUGGAAUCUGCCUGCUGAGCGGAGCGCGCGAGCGUGGACAGGUCCCGAACUUGGCCGGCGGGCUUUCUUGGCAACUUGCUUUGCGCAGUUCUCCAUGGAACCCUGGACCCACUGUGCUCCCGGAGCCUUACCUUUUUUCUUUCUUUCUUUCUCUCUUUCUUUUUAAAUUUAUGAACUCGAAAUGAAGCGGAAAGCAGAUACACGCGUCAGCAUACUUUGGCGGCUGCUCCUCCCUUUGCUGGAUUCAGGACUUCAGCUGGAUCUGGGAGCAAAGCUAACUCAAACUGUGAUUUCCGAAUGGCCAGCGGACAGAUUGCAGCACCAAGUUUAACCUCCAAACAAUUCUCACUGGGAUGUUAUGAUCGUUUGCAGGCUUUCCGCUCCAUGACGCACGGAGGCUUGGCGGCCACUCUUAAAGAGAACUGGGAGGCUUCAGGUUUUUAACCGAUGAGGGUCCCAAAUAAGGAAUAGGUUAUGCAGUGGUAACUUUGAACUUUGGGGAGAAAAAGAAUCUAAUAGAAAAUAUUGAGGAGUAAUAUCCUCAUUUGUUUUGCUGCCAGAACCCGGAUUUCUGGACUUUUCAGUUUUUACAUGGGAAUAGUCAGAAUGAAAAGCCAUUCCAAAGACUCUUUUUCCCAUUUUUGUUGAUUUCUUCAGGUGCCUAGGAGUUGCACUGUUUGAGCCUUUAGUCUAAUUCAUUACCCUAGGUUUCCUUUAAUAAACAGAGAUUAACUGGUCUUCAAAUUAGAAUGAUACACUUCUUUAUUUUAAAAAAGCCAGCAUCUGGAUUAAGUAAGGUUUAGAUUUUCUUUUCUUUCUUCAUUUGAUAAUAUCUAUGAUGAAUUUCUCACAGGCUGGUUUUGCGUGUUUUAAUAUAAUAUUUUCUGAACUCAUUGCUAAGUAUACCCCCUUCUUGCUGGUCUUGCAGCCUCAGGAAACCCAGGCUGUUGUUAACAGUCCUAGAAGCCCCAGUGCAUGUCCUGGCACUUGGCACGGAUCAGUCACAUCAUAAAUGCUUGUGGUAUUCAUUAAUUCACAAGUUCCAAAACAAUUUUCAAAUGUGUAGGAAUCAUUUUAAAUUCUGACUGUGGCUGCCAGAUGCAUAGACCUGCUCCAUGUUAUCCAUAAAAGCUUCUCUGUCUCUAGGAAAAAAAAAACAAAAACAAACAAACAAAAAACACUUUAUGCAACUAUGAUGUGGUAGAAACAGUUGUGGGCUUUUUAUCCGGAAUAUUAUGCCCUAAUCCCCGCUCUGACCUUCACAGCUAUUUUCCCAUAAACAAGUCAAUUAAUUUCUCCAAAGCCGAAACCCCACACUUAAAAACCAAUAGAGGAAGAAGGCACAACAAUUAUCAAACAUCUGGUAGGAUUAAAUAUCUCCGUGUUAAAACAAACACAAAAAUAAAAACAGUCAAAGAAAAUCAGUCUUAUCAGAAAUCAAAAAUAAAGAAAUCACAGUGAAUAUUUUGGGUCAGUAAUGACAGGUACAGAAAAAAGAACUAAAUGUGUACUCUCGGGAAGGUCUGAAAAUUAGUGCUUGGGCCAGUUCUGGACUUGAAUGUUUUCCUGAGUAAAAGCUUCUGAAAUUAA